AGAGUUUGAUCCUGGCUCAGGACGAACGCUGGCGGCGUGCUUAACACAUGCAAGUCGAACGGAAAGGCCCUGCUUGCAGGGUGCUCGAGUGGCGAACGGGUGAGUAACACGUGGGUGAUCUGCCCCUGACUUUGGGAUAAGCCUGGGAAACUGGGUCUAAUACCGGAUAUGACCAAGGAUUGCAUGGUUCUUGGUGGAAA
rnacentral:rRNA from 1 species